rnacentral:rRNA from 1 species
AACGAACGCUGGCGGCAUGCCUAACACAUGCAAGUCGAACGAGACCUUCGGGUCUAGUGGCGCACUGGUGCGUAACGCGUGGGAACCUACCCUUAGGUUCGGAAUAACUCCCCGAAAGGGGUUCUAAUACCGGAUAAUGUCUUCGGACCAAAGAUUUAUCGCCUUUGGAUGGGCCCGCGUUGGAUUAGCUAGUUGGUAGGGUAAAAGCCUACCAAGGCGACGAUCCAUAGCUGGUCUGAGAGGAUGAUCAGCCACACUGUGACUGAGACACGGCCCAGACUACUACGGGAGGCAGCAGUGGGGAAUAUUGGACAAUGGGCGAAAGGCUGAUCCAGCAAUGCCGCGUGAGUGAUGAAGGCCUUAGGGUUGUAAAGAUCUUUUACCCGGGAUGAUAAUGACAGUACCGGGAGAAUAAGCUCCGGCUAACUCCGUG